UGGCGAACGGGUGAGUAAUACAUCGGAACGUGUCCUGUUGUAGUGGGGGAUAGCCCGGCGAAAGCCGGAUUAAUACCGCAUACGCUCUGCGGAGGAAAGCGGGGGAGAUCCUUCGGGACCUCGCGCUACAGGGGCGGCCGAUGGCAGAUUAGCUAGUUGGUGGGGUAAAGGCCUACCAAGGCGACGAUCUGUAGCUGGUCUGAGAGGACGACCAGCCACACUGGGACUGAGACACGGCCCAGACUCCUACGGGAGGCAGCAGUGGGGAAUUUUGGACAAUGGGGGCAACCCUGAUCCAGCAAUGCCGCGUGUGUGAAGAAGGCCUUCGGGUUGUAAAGCACUUUUGUCCGGAAAGAAAACGUCGUGGUUAAUACCCGUGGCGGAUGACGGUACCGGAAGAAUAAGCACCGGCUAACUACGUGCCAGCAGCCGCGGUAAUACGUAGGGUGCAAGCGUUAAUCGGAAUUACUGGGCGUAAAGCGUGCGCAGGCGGUUCGCUAAGACAGAUGUGAAAUCCCCGGGCUUAACCUGGGAACUGCAUUUGUGACUGGCGGGCUAGAGUAUGGCAGAGGGGGGUAGAAUUCCACGUGUAGCAGUGAAAUGCGUAGAGAUGUGGAGGAAUACCGAUGGCGAAGGCAGCCCCCUGGGCCAAUACUGACGCUCAUGCACGAAAGCGUGUGGAGCGCAAACAGGAUUAGAUACCCUGGUAGUCCACGCCCUAAACGAUGUCAACUGGUUGUCGGGCCUUCAUUGGCUUGGUAACGUAGCUAACGCGUGAAGUUGACCGCCUGGGGAGUACGGUCGCAAGAUUAAAACUCAAAGGAAUUGACGGGGACCCGCACAAGCGGUGGAUGAUGUGGAUUAAUUCGAUGCAACGCGAAAAACCUUACCUACCCUUGACAUGGAUGGAAUCCCGCCGAGAGGUGGGAGUGCCCGAAAGGGAGCCCUCACACAGGUGCUGCAUGGCUGUCGUCAGCUCGUGUCGUGAGAUGUUGGGUUAAGUCCCGCAACGAGCGCAACCCUUGUCCCUAGUUGCUACGCAAGAGCACUCCAGGGAGACUGCCGGUGACAAACCGGAGGAAGGUGGGGAUGACGUCAAGUCCUCAUGG
rnacentral:rRNA from 1 species